GGAGGGGUGCCCGAGUGGUUAAAGGGAGCAGACUGUAAAUCUGCCGGCCUAAGGUCUACGAAGGUUCGAAUCCUUCUCCCUCCACCA
rnacentral:tRNA from 1 species